rnacentral:rRNA from 1 species
AUUGAACGCUGGCGGCAGGCUUAACACAUGCAAGUCGAGCGGAGCGGCGGACGGGCGAGUAAGGCCUAGGAAUCUGCAUGGCAGUGGGGGAUAACGUCAGGAACCGGGCGCUAAUACCGCAUACUAUCAGAUGAGCCUAUGUCGGAUUAGCUAGUUGGUGGGGUAAAGGCCUACAAGGGCGACGAUCAGUAACUGUUCUGAGAGGAUGAUCAGUAACACUGGAACUGAGACACGGUCCAUACUCCUACGGUAGGCAGCAGUGGGGAAUAUUGGACAAUGGGCGAAAGCCUGAUCCAGCCAUGCCGCGGGUUGGAAGAAGGGCUUCGGAUUGUAAAGUACUUUAAGUUGGGAGGCGUUACCAACAGAAUAAGCACCGGCUAACUUCGUGCCAGCAGCCGCGGUAAUAC